rnacentral:tRNA from 1 species
GCGUUGGUGUUUCAGUGGAAGAAUUCUCGCCUGGCACGUGGGAGACCGGUGUUCGAUUCCCCGCCAACGCA